rnacentral:rRNA from 1 species
UACGUAGGGUCCGAGCGUUGUCCGGAAUCAUUGGGCGUAAAGAGCGUGUAGGCGGCUUGGUAGGUCACGUGUUAAAGCCUGCGGCUCAACCGCAGAAUCGCACGUGAAACCACCUGGCUAGAGUCCGGAAGAGGAGAGCGGAGUUCCUGGUGUAGCGGUGAAAUGCGCAGAUAUCAGGAAGAACACCCGUGGCGAAGGCGGCUCCUCUGGGACGGUACUGACGGCUGAGACGCGAAAGCGUGGGGAGCGAACAGG